rnacentral:lncRNA from 1 species
UUUUCUGUAUUUGCACGGCGUCGCACAUAAUACAAGUUACAACCACAUCCAAUCACAACCACAUUCACAGUAUACAGCAUACAUUCACAUCUAUCAUUUGAAAGUGUUUCCCAGCCGAAAACUCAUUUUUGAAAUACUAAAAUCACGAAAAGCCGAAAAACCUUAUUAAAAACUGUCUCCCACACAAAAACCUUUCAUUCUUUGAAAAUGAGCUGCCACGAGGGAUAGAAAAUUAUUUUUCAUAAAUCUAUACAAUAUUUCCAAAGUAGCUUUAUUUAAGAUUUCACAACAAAAACAUAUUCAAGUAAAACUAAACUAAACCAC